UGGAGCGAAAGCGCAACUGACGGUACUCAUCACUUUGAUGAGGGCUGAGGAAGCUCCCAACUACAGUCGGCGCCGGUCCUGUGCAAGCAGGGAGGUGAGAGCCUCGCUCUGGGAACAGAAACGACACCCCCAAGUCACGCAUGACCAUGAUGCGGACUCGAAUCCGCUGAGAAGUGAUUUGGUCCGGUUGAAACGACCCAUCACCGUGUAGCAACUCCAAGAAUACACUGCUGACGUGCCGACCCGAGGUGUAGGGUAGGAGGCUUAGUCUGAUGUUGCUAGGUUCUCGCGUGGCAACACGCCUGAACGAAACAGAAUUGGGGCUACUCUUCGGACCA
rnacentral:RNase_P_RNA from 1 species